AACGAACGCUGGCGGCAUGCCUAACACAUGCAAGUCGAACGAGACCUUCGGGUCUAGUGGCGCACGGGUGCGUAACGCGUGGGAACCUGCCCUUAGGUUCGGAAUAACUCCCCGAAAGGGGUGCUAAUACCGGAUAAUGUCUUCGGACCAAAGAUUUAUCGCCUUUGGAUGGGCCCGCGUUGGAUUAGCUAGUUGGUAGGGUAAAAGGCUACCAAGGCGACGAUCCAUAGCUGGUCAUAGAGGAUGAUCAGCCACACUGGGAGUGGGACACGGCCCAGACUACUACGGGAGGCAGCAGUGGGGAAUAUUGGACAAUGGGCGAAAGCCUGAGCCAGCAAUGCCGCGUGAGUGAUGAAGGCAUUAGGGUUGUAAAGCUCUUUUACCCGGGAUGAUAAUGACAGUACCGGGAGAAUAAGCUCCGGCUAACUACGUG
rnacentral:rRNA from 1 species